rnacentral:rRNA from 1 species
CUACGGGGGGCUGCAGUAGGGAAUCUUAGACAAUGGGGGAAACCCUGAUCUAGCCAUGCCGCGUGAGUGAUGAAGGCCUUAGGGUUGUAAAGCUCUUUCGCUGGGGAAGAUAAUGACGGUACCCAGUAAAGAAACCCCGGCUAACUCCGUGCCAGCAGCCGCGGUAAUACGGAGGGGGUUAGCGUUGUUCGGAAUUACUGGGCGUAAAGCGCGCGUAGGCGGGCUAUUAAGUCAGGGGUGAAAUCCCGGGGCUCAACCCCGGAACUGCCUUUGAUACUGGUAGUCUUGAGUUCGAGAGAGGUGAGUGGAAUUCCGAGUGUAGAGGUGAAAUUCGUAGAUAUUCGGAGGAACAUCAGUGGCGAAGGCGACUCACUGGCUCGAUACUGACGCUGAGGUGCGAAAGUGUGGGGAGCAAACAGGAUUAGAUACCCGGGUAGUC